rnacentral:sRNA from 2 species
GGUCCGUUCGUAUCAAUCGUCUGGCAGGGGCGGGGGAACCAAUAUUCGGGCUUCGUUUUCAGAAGUCCUAGGGGUGAAGUCGCAGAAGCGCCUUCGUGGGAAGAGAACAUUCUUUCCACUUGAGGAUGCGCCAAGCGGCCGGGUGACUCCCAUCCGAAUCCGACAGCUUACCUCGCAGGCUUUGGGAGAGGAUCC